rnacentral:lncRNA from 1 species
GGCGUCUGUGCAGUCUGUCUGUGCACAUUCCCGGCUGCCUGGACGCGCGUUCUCCCCAGUAGCGACGGGCACCGCCCGCUCCCCUGCUGAGGCGGGCACGACCAGUGGGGUGCCGGGCGCUCCGCAGGCUGCUGUUCGGUGCGGGCCGUGCGGUCCGGUGGCGCGGCCGGGGUAGCCCCGGGCGGUGCCGGUGCCGGUGCCGGGGCCGGUCCGGGCUGAGCGGGGCUGGGCCGGGCCCGGUGCCGCCGCGGCGGGGCUCGGGCGAUGCUGCCCCCUGGCGGCGCGCGGUGGCACGGCAGGGGCUCGGCGGGCGCGGGGUCAGCCGGGGCGAGCGGGGCUGACCGGAGCGGGAGCUGCGCAGCGCCGGGACGGCGGCGCUUUCCCCACCUGGACGGGCCGGACAGGCCUCCAGCCUAGCGCCGGACUCCGCAACUCGCUCCCCUGCGGAGCCCCGGCCUUCCCCGCCGACGCCGGCGCACAGAAAAACGCCCGUGGCGUUCGGGGAGCCGGGGCACCGGGCUGCCGGCACGGAGGACAGCUGCCUAGCUUCGGCAGCGGCACGGAGACCGGCCCUCGGGCGGCCUCACUGCCGGUUGUCCGCGGAGCCUCCCACAACAGGGCACUCCCCAAGCUGGCUCUGCAAGUCCGCGGCUCCGACCGUGCCCCCGGUGGCGGCGCCCGCCGCCCGGUGCUUCCACGUGGCCGGGCUCUCCCCCGGGCGCCGACGAGCGGGCAGUCCCAGGACCGGGCCGAUUUGGCACGGUAGCCCAGCGGAACGCCCCCGGCCCGGGACGAGCCGCCGCCGCCGGCGCACGACGGUGACUGAUCCAGCCCGCGCUCCCCCCUCGGAAGGAUGGAUGUGAACGAGCUACUAAGUGUAGUUACUAAUAACAAUAACAAUAAAUUAUUGGACUGUUGCUCA